UAAAAAAGAAAUAAAAAAUGCAUUCUGGAUUUGUAAAAGAUGCUGACAGUUCUUAAUGGGGAGGAUUCUAUUCUGCAUAGUGACUUAUGGUUUGUUCCUAAACAAUCUGCAACAAUCCUUUGCUUCAUUCUUGGCUGGUGUUUCCAUCUGAAUAAAACAUCCCAACCCAGUCCCUCUGGAAAAUGAGGAGAGUUUCUUGAUUUCAGUGAAUUUGCAAUCGAGCUUGAAAUGUAGAUACUAAUGGCCGUAUGGAAGUCUCUCUGUGCAGAAAUACUGGCCUUUGCUGAAUCCCAUCAAGCUGAACAGGUCAUAGCUGCGGCUGCUGGUGGUAGGCUUGGAGGAGGUUCUUUGGUUUGGAUGGAAGGUUUUGAAGACUCCCUGUGCUCUUCUUUUGGUGUCAGUUUGUGAUUCUCCUCAAUGUUUCUGUAUGCUCAGCUACCAUCUGCAGUUCCUGGUGUUCAGGAGAACAGAGCUUUGAUCUACAAGUGCUUUUUAAGGGUAAAUUUACCCUCCUCUAUUUCCAUAAAGGACAAAAGGGGUGGAGGGAGAGAAGUUAUGGGACAAAGACAAUAAAACAAAUAAACAAAAACAAAAACCCUUAUAGUCUGCCUCAACCUUCCUCAUUUUCACACAGUUUGAAAGGCCAAAGUAAAUAAACCUUGAUAGUUACUAAAAUCUUUGAAAUGUUCCUCUGAUGUCUAUUCAGAGUUGUAGAGAUGUGGAACAUUUCCUGUCACCUACAUGUAGACAGCCUUUAUUUGAGGAAAAAAGAAAAGAAGCAAUAAAAAUAAAUCCUCUGUUGGAGCGUGCCUACAACAAGGUUUGUGAUUAUAGUUUAAACGUUUGUUUCUGCUUACACAAAUAAAAGGGGAACAACAACAAGCUCUUUAAAGUGUGAAGAUUGUGCAUUCUGGGGAUGUUUCUAAAGAACUAUUGAAGCUGU
ensembl:lncRNA